GAAAAACUUAAAUGGUUAAACCUUACCAAAAUCAUGAUCUAAAAUAAUAUAGGGAAAUGCUUACAAUACAAUAAAUAAUACUUAAAAUUUUAAGAUUCAGUAGAAUCUCAAUUUUUGUAAACACAGGCCACAUGCUUGGGCACCAGAGAGGAGAAAGACCAAUGGGAAUAUUCAUAGGGGUUGAAUCUGAGGGUUAGGAUACUGGGUAAUUUUUACUUUGUACAGCUUUUGAAAUCCCGCAUGUUCUAGAGUGAAAUGUGUUCAUCAGAAGAAUAACAAGUGAUCAUCAGAUAAUCAGGAAAAAAACAAAUGAUGUAAAAAGCCCAAAUUUUAACUCAAAAAAUUAAAAGUGAAAACAAAACAAAAAACAACCCUCACAGGGCAUAAGGAAAUCAGUGUG
rnacentral:lncRNA from 1 species